rnacentral:rRNA from 1 species
AGUGAACGCUGGCGGUAGGCCUAACACAUGCAAGUCGAACGGCAGCACAGGAGAGCUUGCUCUCUGGGUGGCGAGUGGCGGACGGGUGAGGAAUACAUCGGAAUCUACUCUGUCGUGGGGGAUAACGUAGGGAAACUUAAGCUAAUACCGCAUACGACCUACGGGUGAAAGCAGGGGACCUUCGGGCCUUGCGAGAUUGAAUGCGCCGAUGUUGGAUCAGCUAGUUGGCGGGGUAAAGGCCCACCAAGGCGACGAUCCGUAGCUGGCCUGAGAGGAUGGUCAGCCACACUGGAACUGAGACACGGUCCAGACUCCUACGGGAGGCAGCAGUGGGGAAUAUUGGACAAUGGGCGCAAGCCUGAUCCAGCCAUACCGCGUGGGUGAAGAAGGCCUUCGGGUUGUAAAGCCCUUUUGUUGGGAAAGAAAUCCAGCUGGCUAAUACCCGGUUGGGAUGACGGUACCCAAAGAAUAAGCACCGGCUAACUUCGUGCCAGCCGCCGCCGUAA